rnacentral:lncRNA from 1 species
AAAAAUAUUGAAGAGAAAAUUUUGCACGCGCGUCAGUGUGAUUAUGUUCAAGAAUGUAUAAACUACCCACUAAUCCUAUAUCAAUCCAAAGCGCGCGUAGUUAGGACUUGCCGCCAGCAACCAUUUUUGACAGUUUAACUCACUGACAUCGACUCGAUAUAUCGAUUGUGGCGGUUGUCGUCUUCGUUGUUAUUAUUGCUGUCU